GAUUGAACGCUGGCGGCAGGCCUAACACAUGCAAGUCGAACGGUAACAGGAAACAGCUUGCUGUUUCGCUGACGAGUGGCGGACGGGUGAGUAAUGUCUGGGAAACUGCCUGAUGGAGGGGGAUAACUACUGGAAACGGUAGCUAAUACCGCAUAACGUCGCAAGACCAAAGAGGGGGACCUUCGGGCCUCUUGCCAUCGGAUGUGCCCAGAUGGGAUUAGCUAGUAGGUGGGGUAACGGCUCACCUAGGCGACGAUCCCUAGCUGGUCUGAGAGGAUGACCAGCCACACUGGAACUGAGACACGGUCCAGACUCCUACGGGAGGCAGCAGUGGGGAAUAUUGCACAAUGGGCGCAAGCCUGAUGCAGCCAUGCCGCGUGUAUGAAGAAGGCCUUCGGGUUGUAAAGUACUUUCAGCGGGGAUGAAGGGAGUAAAGUUAAUACCUUUGCUCAUUGACGUUACCCGCAGAAGAAGCACCGGCUAACUCCGUG
rnacentral:rRNA from 1 species